rnacentral:rRNA from 1 species
AGUCGAACGGCAGCGCGAGAGAGCNUGCUCUCUUGGCGGCGNAGUGGCGGACGGGWGAGUAAUAUAUCGGAACGUGCCCAGUAGCGGGGGAUAACUACUCGAAAGAGUGGCUAAUACCGCAUACGCCNUACGGGGGAAAGGGGGGGAUCGCAAGACCUCUCACUAUUGGAGCGGCCGAUAUCGGAUUAGCUAGUUGGUGGGGUAAAGGCUCACCAAGGCAACGAUCCGUAGCUGGUUUGAGAGGACGACCAGCCACACUGGGACUGAGACACGGCCCAGACUCCUACGGGAGGCAGCAGUGGGGAAUUUUGGACAAUGGGGGAAACCCUGAUCCAGCCAUCCCGCGUGUAUGAUGAAGGCCUUCGGGUUGUAAAGUACUUUUGGCAGAGAAGAAAAGGUAUCCCCUAAUACGGGAUACUGCUGACGGUAUCUGCAGAAUAAGCACCGGCUAACUACGUGCCAGCAGCCSCGGUAAUACGUAGGGUGCAAGCGUURAUCGGAAUUACUGGGCGUAAAGCGUGUGUAGGCGGUUCGGAAAGAAAGAUGUGAAAUCCCAGGGCUCAACCUUGGAACUGCAUUUUUAACUGCCGAGCUAGAGUAUGUCAGAGGGGGGUAGAAUUCCACGUGUAGCAGUGAAAUGCGUAGAUAUGUGGAGGAAUACCGAUGGCGAAGGCAGCCCCCUGGGAUAAUACUGACGCUCAGACACGAAAGCGUGGGGAGCAANCAGGAUUAGDUNRCCCUGGUAGUCCACGCCCUAAACGAUGUCAACUAGCUGUUGGGGCCGUUAGGCCUUAGUAGCGCAGCUAACGCGUGAA